CUCUCUGUCUCUCUUUCUCUCUCUCUCAACAAGGUCUUCUGCUGCUGCCUAGGCUGGAGUGCACUGGUACGAUCACAGCUCACUGUAGCCUCUACCUCUGGGGCUUGGGUGAUUCUUCCACCUCAGCUUCCCAAGUAGCUGGGACUACAGGGAGAAAGAGAUUGAAAAUGGAACUUCAAGAUGAAUUCUAGAAGCAGCACCACCUCUGACUGUGAGGAAAAAUAGGAAGCCUUCAAACUGCCUGGCUCUGAGAGAGAACGCUGACGGUGGGGUUGGAUGGGGCUGACUGUCAGCAUGUGACUUCUUUAAGGACAGCCCAUUUGUCUGGAGGAAUUAUCCACCUUUCGUGGAUAUCUCUUGACAUCAGUAUUCCAAGCAAAAUAUUUUGGGAGACAUUCUCUUUAUUUCACUGAUGAAAACGUUGUCGAUCUCUACAUUUUACUGACCAGAGGACUAGUUCCAGGAAAGUCAAAAACUCCUCUUAAGUGUCACAGCCAGGAAUGACAGAAUUAUGAUAAUUAAAAGCUGGCUAUUGGCUGGGCGCGGUGGCUCUUGUCUGUAACCCCAGCACUUUGGGAGGCCGAGGCAGGCGGAUCACGAGGUCAGGAGAUCAAGACCAUCCUGGCUAACACGGUGAAACCCCGUCUCUAAUAAAAUACAAAAAAUUAGCUGUGCAUGGCGGCGGGUGCCUGUUGUCCCAGCUACUCGGGAGGCUGAGGCAGAAGCAUGACAUGAACCCGGGAGGUGGAGGUGGCAGUGAGCCAAGAUCACACCACUGCACUCCAGCCUGGGCAACAGUGUGAGACUCCAUCUCAAAAAAUAAAAAAAUA